rnacentral:ncRNA from 1 species
GACCGUAUGCCAAUAGGGGCAUGCGAAGGACUAAGUGGAGUCAGUUGC